ACGUUAAUCAUUUUAGAGAAUUUUGUUUCAAAUUAAACGAUGUUUUCAAAUUCCAAUACUAAUUUUAUUAACUGUACAUGUUAUAUAACUUUAAUAUUCUGUUUAUUUGUAUUUUUUGACAUCGAACGGCUAUUUUAUUACUCAAAUUUGAGGUGGUUUUGGAAGUCACACUGGAAUAGAACAACCUACAUAAUAAAGUUUCCUAUAGAAUGAUCGAUAAGUUCUAGCUAGAAAAUCAGAAAUCAUAUUUUGCCUCUGUGGAACAUAUGAAAUCUUGAAUGCUUGGAAUUGACUUUGAAGGGUCUUUAUCUUUUUCUACUCCGUUGAAAAGUUUGGUCAUGCAUGAAGCUCUUUAAUCAUUAUGAUCAGGUCUUUGCAAUCUGUUUCAAAGUUUAUUCCUAGCGUCGAAGGUUACUUGUCCCUAAUAAUUGGUUUUCUAAACUUGUUUUUCCAUAUGCAACCGCAACCACUGAAUUGAGUGGGUUGAGUCCAUGAUUCAUCUACCUAACAAAUGUUCUCCAAACAUAUGGCUUGUGAGUCAUUGUUAUAUAAUGGAUGUGAUGUUGUUGGAACAAUCACAUUCACUGAAAACCAAGCUUGGCACUCUCCUUUCGCGUGUCUGAAUAGAUCUUAGGAAUCUAUAUAUAUUCCUCUAAAUAGUUUAUCGUUCCUAACUUUCCAGAGACACCAGAUUAUCCAAAGGUAAGGAUCACUAUCUAGCUUUGGGUCCUCAAAACUAUUAUUCCUCUAAAAAAGAUAAUCCAUAUUGGCAUAAACACUCGGUAACAAAAAGAUGUUUUGCCAAGAAGGAGUUGCUAAUAGUGCACAUACCUAUAGCAAUACAUGGCUGGUAAUCAGCUGCGAAAUAAGAUGGUGCAUCUUCUGAGGAGCUUUUAUUCUCCAAGCAAAGAUUUGUAGCGCGGUGAUAUUGGGCUUUGAAUAGACUUCCUCUGUCUCAAUUUUGAAGACAUUCAUUGCCACCUAGUAUCCAGAAUUAACAGUAUAUCGACCACUUUUUAUUUAGCUCCAACAAAACGUAUCUCGGUAAGUGGUUCGGCUUAUGGUCAGAAUUUGAUACGGUGAAAUUGUGAAUACAAAACUAUUGUCCUUCUUUCAAAACUGAAGCACAUAUCCAACUAUUUCAGGAUGAGUGGUAGAAACUUCAAUCUUCCAACCCUAAAGUUCAAAUAAUUGAUAAGAACACAAUUAUUUUAUAAUAAAAAUAUAAUGUGAACAAAUUUGCAGGCAUUAACUUACUUCAUGAUCAAUUAAGAUGCAUGAAAUUAAAAUCUUCACCGACUUCAUUACAUGUUUGCCAUAUUUUAAAGCUUUUACAUGUAUGUUGUUUCUCCAUGGAUGAAGGUCUAAAUUCUGAAAGGGAAGCACAAGGAAACAAUAUAAAAAUUUAUAAUAAUGUAUAAGUUUGAAAGGAUGAUAGGAAACAUUCUUUUUGAUUAGGUAAAAGAAGAUCUCUAUAAUAUUAAUUACUAGGAUCGGCCCGGGCUACGCCCGAAUUUUUUAUUUAAAUAUUAAUUAUAAUCAUAUAUUUAUGUUAUUUUGAUAUAUAAAUAUUAUAUAAAUAUAAGUAGCUAGAUAAUUAUAAAAUUUUAUUUUAUUAUUUAUUAUUUUCUGUCUUAUGAAUUUCAAUUAACUCAAUUUUUACAAUAAAUUUUUCCGUUGAUUUAUUUAUUGAAUGAAACUUGUGUAACUUAAAAUCAUGCAUGCAUUUAAGCUGAAUCGAAUAUAAACUAAACCGAAGUAAAUCCGGUUAUGUUAUGUCGUUUUUCUUUGAAACAAAAGGCUCAAAAGAAAAGACUCAAUGAGAAUUGAACGCAUUGCUUCCUGUCUAUUUCCCUUUUAAGUUUAAAAUAUGUAUCUCAUAUCUCACCAACACGCAUGUCUCUGCGCGUGUAUGACACUUCCAUUCAUGUUAAUUCCCAAUAACUAAUUAAAAAAUGAAAUAAAAACCUUUGAUUGCUUCCCUUAUCUUUUUAUGAUUCGUUCGGAGCAAUCUUAGCUUUGAUAAUAUCUAUAUUUAUUUGGACAAAAAAAAACUAUAUUUCUCUCUUGAUCGAGUCAUAGCGGAAUUGAGAAACCGAUCUGAUUUACUCGUCACCGCUUAAACUAUGGAAUAUUUUUAUUAAUUGGCUCGAUAUUCUUUUUAACCUCUUCAGUGAUGUUGCUCAUCAUCCUCUUCUCUUUGCCAAUAACUUUAAACUCUUGAAUGUUAUUGAGUUACGGCGGCGGCGAAAUGAACCCUCACCGUUGACAUCGCCUCCAACCAAGGCGAAGUCAGUAGCAUCCAGAAACUCAUGGUACGCUCCUUCUUUUCCUUCUCGUUUCCAAAGUUUCAGUAUUUACAGAUGUUUUCAUUAUAGUGGUUAUCUCUCUGUAUUUGGGCUUAUAUCACGGUGUGAACAAAAAGCCCACUAAACCGUAAAAAAUUAUGAAACGCAGCAGCCCACAUCAAAACUUAAUGAAACGAUGAGUUUUAGGCAAAGAAGACAGAUGUCGCACUCACAAUCAACGACUUUAUGACGUGGCGCAACAGGAGAGAGGCAAACAUUUUAUAUAUAUAGAUUACAAAGUUUAAUUACAAAAUUAUCCAUAAUAAACUACAAAGAGUAUACCUAAGAUUUUUAAAAUGAUUUUGAUUUAUUUUUAUUCAAUAAUUUUAAUUAGGUUUUAAAUUUAUUUACUUUUUCUUUAUAUUUUUUACAAAGCACAUAAAUAAUAGGAAUCAAAUCAAACAAUUGAGUCUGGCAUUAAUUAAAUUCGUUAAGGGAGUCUAUAGAAAAUGAAACAAAUCUUUAGAAUAUUAAGUAAUUUUAAGAAUUUGUAAAUAUGUGGCAAGAAGAUAUGAGAAAUAGUAAAUAAAUCCUAAUUAAAUAAAUUCAUGGCUAAAUAAUAAUAAAUAUAUGAUAAACGAGUUAUUCUAUCAAUAUUAAGAAAAAUUGUAGCCAGGAGAAACAAACCAUCAAAUCACAUUUUAACAUAUCAGUUUCAAUAAAUUUUAUCGCAAAAACAAAUAUGCAGAAACAUAAUUAGUUUUUCAAAUUUAAGAAAAUGUUUUACUAUAUCAAGCUCGUGAAGAUAGUUUUGAAAUCUGAUGCAAUAUACGUGAAAGAAAUACAAAAACUGGAAGAGAGUUUCAGAAUUUUGAGAUAAAACACAUUCCCAUGAUUCAAAAUACGAUGGCAAAUAAUUUUGUGCAUAGUGCGAACAGUCAGUAGCGAAUCUAGACAGAAGUAACGAAAGCAUCUGCCUCUGGCCACUGACAAUAUAUAUAUAUAUAUAUAUAACUUUUGGCUAUUGUGUAAACGUUAUAAUUAGCUUCAGAUUGUUAAAAACUAGAUGGUAUAUUGGUUAUAGCCUUAUAGGUGGUAGGUUUCAAAAGACAGUCUUUAUUAUUUUUUCUUUUUCAGCCCAUAUUUGUUUUGGGUUUUUCAGGCCGGGGCAUGAGAAGAUUCAACUACCUUAAUUUAUCCAUAUAUAUACUAAAUCUCCUUUCUAGAUAAAAUCUAUAUAUAUAUAUAAAGUAGACAUGAAUUCUCUUCUCCUCUUUCCACCUAAGAAAAUAGAGGAAGGAGAGCUCGACACGUGUCCACCUUUAUUUGAGUUUCGUUGCGUUUUGUUUUGUUACUGUUAACGGGCUUCCACGAGAUUUUUACUUUUGGUUUCGUUACUCUUAUUUGGGCUAAAAGAAUUGAACAAAACCUUAGCUCAUUAUCAUCUUCACCUUCCUCAAUAACGAAGUCACUAAAUAUUUCUACGGUCCUUCCUGUUUUCGACCUUUCGUUCAUAUCGAUUCCCUGGAUAGAGAUGUUUCAAUGUCAUUUCGUAUCAUUUUCUUCUCCUUGGAACCGUUACAGACUGAGUUGAUUCACUGACAUUAACAAGGUACUUAAGUCCUUUGACCCAUUUCAACCACGAUUUCUCAUUCAUUACAUCUUUCCUCUCUUCCAAACUGUGCAUCUACAGCUAUAAAAAGGUAUGCCUACAUACAUAAACAUCAUCCUCACAAAUCCUAAUAACAAUUGAAACUUCUUUUUGCAAUAGAAUGGCGAACACAUCUCUCUAAGAAAAAACGAGGAUAUAGGAUGGAGUAAUCUGGGGUUAAGAGGUGAUAAAGAGAUUAUUGAUCUGAAACCUGAGCAAAGCUGAAGAAUUUAACGAGCCAAUCAGAGAAAGAGAUUACAAGUGGAAAAAGCAAAGCGUGAUCUGAAUUUAAGAUAUGUCCAUAUAAUCUUUCUCUUAAAUCAUUUGCUAUCUCUUAUAAUGCUUUCUUAUAUUCAGUUUUCAGUUUUAUAAUGAUGAAAACAGGGAAUCAUGCUGACAAAAAAAAUCAGCGCUCAGAUACGCCAGACGAUCCGGUCAAAAAUGUUGUUGUUUUAAAAGCUUUAAGCUAAGGUGGAGUUUAAGAGAUUGAAGAGGAUCCAGUAAAAAUGCAACAAAAUCGCUGGAAAAUCAGAUCAUCAAUCAAGUUGAGGCAAGUAAUGAAACCAUGAUUCUAUGUUCCACCAUUUGCUUCAAAUAUUAAGAAUCUUUCUGAUCUCCCUCUACUACUGCUGUUUCACAUCACAUUUGUAUGCUUCAAUGUUUUCACAAUCAAUUAUGUGGACAGAGCGUGGAGUUUUUCUGCAGGAGAAGUUGAGAGUAUUGAUACUGCAAAAGGUUGGUGCUACACCUCAUAAUGCUCUAAAAAUCUUUCAUAUGGUUCUGCAUCAUUUACAUGCGGAGGAUGUAAUGACGACAAUGUCGUUGGGGUUCUAAGGUACCAUGUCCAACUAUGUGUUUCAGAUGGUUCAGACUCUGCAUUGUUUAUGGCUUUUGACGGUGAGAUGACAAAACUCACCAACACCAGUGCUAUUGGUACCAUUAUGGUACCAUUAUCCAAUAACCAUUUUAAUUAUUCUAUCCUACCCUUGACCACCACAUCCACCUAAAAUCUUAAUGCUAGCUUUAUGGCAUGAGCAUGAUGUUACAGACCCAGAUCAAAGGUCACUUCCCAGUGCAUUCAGGACUUGGUCGGCCGCACUUACACCUUUCACUUGAAGCUUUCCUCGUUCAACUUCUCCACCAAGCAUGAAUCAUUCACCAUAUCAUGGAUCUUUGACCGCAAUCAGCGCUCACAACCAUUGUCCAUAUGUGUAUCUUUGUUUUAUUUCUAGCUUGCUAAGAAUGUCAUAUGCUUGGUUCGCAGGGGGUGAUAACAAUCCCAUAGACGAUAUUCCUGGCGUUGGAUCAGUAAAAACCAAAGCCUCGAAUGGUGUAACCAUCGCCCCAAUUUUGGAAUGAUGAUUCUGUAGUGAUUAAGGGGCUACAUCCACUAUUGGUGUCUUACCAUGGUGAACCAUUUACUGCUGGAAUCACUGUUUGAUCAGCAGCUCAGCCUUACAUACUCAUUUGUUCUUCAAAAUUUGGUCUUUGUAGUAGCCAUGUUCAAGGAUAAAUAAAUUAAAUAAAAAAUCGGUUUACAAAUGAC